rnacentral:lncRNA from 1 species
AAAGGUUUAGUUAAGCCACCAUUCAUUACUAAUGAGUAUGAGACAGAUGAGACACAAGCCAUGAUCCAUGCAGUAAACUUAGCUGGAAACCCCAGGUCAAUUAGAAUCUGCCUCAGAAAACCCCAUUCCAGUGUAUCAUAUGCUUUCCUUAAGUCCACUUUAAGAACACAUCUAGGAGAAACACCUUUCCUAGAAUACCCUUUGAAAAUUUCAUGACUAAGUAGGA